GUAACGCCAGGGAAUUACGAGCCAAGCUUAAAACCCAAAGGACUUGACGGUGUCCCAACCAACUAGAGGAGCCUGUUCUGUAAUCGAUGAUCCACGUUUUACCUGACCCCCCCUUGCCCUUCAGCCUGUAUACCUCCGUCGUAAACCCGCCAUAUGAAUGUUUUCCAGCGGGUACAAUGACCCCCCCCGUCAAUACGUCAGGUCAAGGUGCAGCCCAUGGGAGGAGGAAGUGAUGGGCUACAAUUUCUAAUCUAGAACAAACGAACUACUGCAUGAAACACAGUAUGAAGGAGGAUUUAGUAGUAAAAAGAAAAUAGCAUGUUCUUUUUAACAUGGCCCUGGGACGUGUACACACCGCCCGUCACCCUCAA
rnacentral:rRNA from 1 species